GGGCACGUGACCGCGGUCCGACCGGAAGUGGAGGGGCGGGUCCUGUCGUCUGGUCUUGAGGGGACCGGUUGCUCCCUGGCCAUUUCCAGACGCGACUUCAUCUAGGGCCUUCGAGGAUGUCGUGACAGACUUUUUGAGGCGUGUGUCUGUGGUCCGAGAUGCCCGGCUGUCGGCUGUUUGGAAACCCAGAGGGGAGUGACGUGGCUUUCCCUAGACGGCACCCUGGCUGUCCCUCUCAGAAAGUGACCAUCGAUUAGGAAUAUUGAGACUAAGCGGUUUGAAAUGGCACCGUGAGGACACAGAGGGUGGCUGGAGGGCAAGCAACAGCACCACAAAAAUGUCAGUGCCCCACGUUUGCAGAAUCCUGGGCCCGAGUUCUUGCAGCGUCAUCAGUUUGCAGUAGGAUGAGCUAAUGCCACACCUGGCAUUGCUUAGCGACACGGCUCUGAAAGGACGCUUCUGUGGAAGCCAGCGGUUGUGUCUUCUGACACAUUCCUUCACGAACUCGGGCUCAGGGGAAACAGGAAAUACCACCGGACCAUCGUUGCUUCACUGCUUGCUGAGUCAAAACAGUAUUGCUAGAGGGCUUCUUGGAACGCUUAAGUAACUAGAUAACGGAUAUUUCAAAGCGAGGGACGGAAUCUUAAUACUGGGACACCUUGAGCUUUUGAGGUGGCCAAAGUACUGGAGUUUCGCUUUAGCAUCAGUCCUUCCAAAGAACACCCAGGACCGAUCUCCUUUAGGAUGGACUGGUUGGAUCUCCUUGCAGUCCAAGGGACUCUCAAGAGU
ensembl:lncRNA